GGUCCAGUGCCGGGGACCCAGACACUGUCCGGGCGGCGGUGCGUGGACCAGGACCCAAUAUAUCUGAUGUUCAGAGUAGGAGUCACAGUGUGGAGGUGGAUUAGCAGGGUCUGGUGCAGGGUAACCGCACACCCCCUGGUGUUGAGCACCAGCGUUUGUGCAGCCACAUACCAGAACCCUGAUUCAGCUUAUGCGUAUCCCAGGAACUAGGAGCAGGUAAUUAAGCAGACCUCCCAGGAACUGAAUAGAGAGGCUCUGCAGCAGGGAUGACCAGUACUGGAGCAAGGCAAGACUAGAGAUAGGCACCAUACAUAAAAACAAGACAGAACUAGGAGAACUGGG